CCUACGGGAGGCAGCAGUAGGGAAUCUUUCACAAUGAGCGAAAGCCUGAUGGAGCAACGCCGCGUGCAGGAUGAAGGCCUUCGGGUUGUAAACUGCUUUUAUAAGCGAGAAAUAUGAUGGUAACUUAUGAAUAAGGAUCGGCUAACUACGUGCCAGCAGCCGCGGUCAUACGUAGGAUCCGAGCAUUAUCCGGAGUGACUGUGUGUAAAGAGUUGCGUAGAUGGCAUAAUAAGUAGCUAGUGAAAUCUGGUGGCUCAACCAUUCAGACUAUUAGCUAAACUGUUAAGCUCGAGACCGUUAGGGGUAACUGGAAUUUCUAGUGUAGGAGUGAAAUCCGUAGAUAUUAGAAGGAACACCAAUAGCGUAGGCAGGUUGCUGGGACGGUUCUGACACUAAGGCACGAAAGCGUAGGGAGCAAACGGGAUUAGAUACCCGAGUAGUC
rnacentral:rRNA from 1 species